rnacentral:tRNA from 1 species
GAGGAUAUAGCUCAGUGGAAGAGGGUAUGCUUAGCAUGCAUGAGCUCAUGGGUUCAAUCCCCAAUACCUCU